UAAUAAGUGUUUUAUGGCACUUUAAAUCCAUAUCCACCUUGUGUGCAAUGUCAGAGCCCGACCCAUAUCCAGCAAUGGAUGUUGAGAAGGGUUUCAUUAUCCACUUUAUAGUUUUUUUUUUUUUCAGUCUAUAUUCUUUGAGUAAAAACGAACUCAAAUA
rnacentral:misc_RNA from 1 species